AUGUACCACGAGUACAUUGCGGUUCCUCAGUGCCGUCCGCGCCCGGCCGGGACAGCUCGCUACGUUUUGUUAGCC
rnacentral:sRNA from 1 species